CCUACGGGUGGCAGCAGUAGGGAAUAUUGCGCAAUGGGGGAAACGCUGACGCAGCAACGCCGCGUGAUAGAUGAAGGCCUUAGGGGUGUAAAGAUCCGUCAGUGGGGACGAAACCUGAUGGUACCCACAGAGGAAGCACCUGCUAACUGCGUGCCAGCAGCCGCGGUAAUACGGGGGGUGCAAGCGUUGUCCGGAAUCAUUGGGCGUAAAGAGUUCGUAGGUGGCAAGUUAAGUCUGGUGUUAAAGGCGGAGGCUCAACUUCCGUAGGGCCCUUGAUACUGGCGAGCUUGAAUGCGGUAGAGGUAAAGGGAAUGCGUGGUGUAGCGGUGAAAUGCAUAGAUAUCAGGAGGAACAUCGAUGGCGUAGGCACUUUACUGGGCCGUAAUUGACACUGAGGAACGAAAGCCGGGGUAUCAAAUAGGAUUAGAUACCCUGGUAGUC
rnacentral:rRNA from 1 species